AAAACCAAAGUCUUGUUUUUGGAGGGAGGAGAGGAGCGCUCAGCCUCUCAAACACCAAAAAGCAGCUCUACCCAGCGGGCGCCAGAGAAGGCUCUCUCUCAUUUAAACCUCCACUCUCCUCCCACUAACUCUCUCUAAACCCAGCUUUUCUCUCUCUACACCCAGCAAUGUUCUCCGGCGGCACCUCAAGCUCAAGGUCACAAAGAUCCUCCAUCUCGCCUUUCCGCUCCCGGAAGCCUGCGGGGUCCACAAAGCCCCCUACGGCGUCGUCUCGGCCGGCCACCCCUUCUUCUUCCACUACGUCGUCUCGGCCCACCCCGUCCAAGCCCUCUCUGUCUCCGCCCUCUUCCUCUGCCAGCCCCAACCCGCCGUCCCCGCCCAAUGUCUCCAAGUCCAAGGAAAAUGUCACCGUCACCGUCAGGUUUCGCCCCCUCAGUGCUCGUGAGAUUAACAAAGGGGACGAGAUAGCGUGGUAUGCAGAUGGGGAUUAUACAGUGAGAAACGAGUUCAAUUCUUCCAUUGCUUAUGGCUUUGAUAAGGUUUUUGGUCCGGCAACAACAACACGCCAUGUCUAUGAUGUUGCUGCACAGCAUGUUGUCGGUGGUGUUAUGCAAGGGAUUAAUGGUACUGUGUUUGCAUAUGGUGUUACUAGUAGUGGGAAGACGCAUACAAUGCAUGGGGAGCAAAAGUCACCUGGAAUUAUUCCACUGGCAGUGAAGGAUGUUUUUGGAAUUAUACAAGAGACACCUGGGCGGGAGUUUCUUCUUCGUGUUUCAUAUCUGGAAAUUUACAAUGAGGUCAUAAAUGACUUACUUGAUCCAACAGGACAGAAUUUACGAAUAAGAGAGGAUGCUCAGGGAACCUAUGUUGAAGCAAUCAAAGAGGAAGUUGUUUUAUCUCCUGCUCAUGCUCUUUCUUUGAUAGCAACAGGAGAAGAACAUAGGCACGUUGGUUCAAAUAAUUUCAAUCUACUUAGCAGUCGCAGCCACACUAUAUUCACAUUGACUAUUGAAAGCAGUCCACGAGGUGAGAAUCAUGAUGAAGAAGAUGUCACCUUGUCCCAGUUGCACUUAAUUGAUCUUGCAGGAUCUGAAAGUUCUAAAACUGAAACAACUGGAUUGCGAAGAAAGGAGGGUUCAUACAUCAAUAAAAGCUUACUCACGCUUGGCACUGUGAUUUCUAAAUUGACAGAUGGAAAGGCAACUCAUAUUCCAUAUCGAGAUUCAAAACUCACUCGUUUGUUGCAGUCAUCCCUCAGUGGUCAUGGGCGUAUAUCUCUCAUUUGCACUGUGACCCCUGCAUCUAGCAAUAGUGAGGAAACACACAACACACUGAAGUUUGCACAUCGGAGUAAGCGCGUGGAAAUCAAGGCUUCCCAAAAUAAGAUUAUGGAUGAAAAGUCUAUUAUCAAGAAAUAUCAGAGGGAGAUUUCCAGUUUAAAGCAAGAACUUCAGCAAUUAAAACGUGGCAUGAUGGAGCAUCCAAAUACAGCUAUAUCUACUCAGGAAGACCUGGUUAAUUUGAAGCUUCAGCUGGAAGCUGGUCAGGUGAAAUUGCAAUCAAGAUUGGAAGAGGAAGAAGAAGCCAAGGCAGCUUUAAUGGGAAGAAUACAACGACUGACUAAACUAAUCUUAGUGUCCACGAAAAAUACUAUCCCACCAAGCAUAUCUGAACGACCUACUCAUAGACGGAGGCAUUCUUUUGGGGAAGAUGAGCUUGCAUAUCUGCCUGAUAAGAAGCGGGAAUACCUGGUUGAUGAUGAUGCUGGAAGUUAUGCUUCUGAGCUUUCAGUGGAAGGAAGGGAUGAGAUCACUAAUCUAGAUGAGUUGGUCAAAGAUUACAAAAGAAACAAAAGACGGGGAAUGCUUGGAUGGUUUAAACUGAAAAAACCUGAGAAUGUUAUUGGAUUAUCACCCAGUGCCGAUAGUGAGAGCUCUACAAGUGGGUCACCAGCACCUUCUUCAAAAUCUUCUCAAAAUAGAGUCAAAUUCAGUGAUUUGAAGGAUGGAGGAAGAAAGUCUGUCAGUAGAAGGGGAGAUGAUUAUACCAUUAUUGACCCAUUUCCGGAAAGAACACAAGCAGGUGAUUUGUUCGGUGCGGCUUUUGGAGGUCACUGUUUGCCUCGGACGGGGUCCACUAUUACAGAUCAAAUGGAUCUUCUUCGCGAGCAAGUGAAAAUGUUAGCUGGGGAGGUGGCAUUGUGUACAAGUUCUCUAAAAAGACUGUCGGAGCAAGCAGCUAGAAACCCUGAAGAUUCACAGCUGAGGGAACAAAUGCGAAAGUUGAAGGGCGAAAUUAGUGAAAAGAAGCUUCAGAUACGUGUUCUAGAGCAACGUAUGAUUGGAUCCCUUGAGAUGACUCCACAAAUGUCAAAUAACAGCGAAAUGUCUCAGGCUCUGUCCAAGCUUACUACACAGCUAAAUGAGACAACUUUUGAACUUGAGAUUAAGACAGCAGACAAUAGGAUACUUCAGGAGCAACUACAAAUGAAGAUUUCAGAGAAUGCAGAAAUGCAAGAGACGAUUCUUCUGCUAAGACAACAGCUCAAUUCACAACAAAUUUCUGAUAGCGAGGCUACCAGACUAGAGACAUGUUCCAAAAAACUAGUGCAAAAGAACAAUGAAGAAGGAGAAAGGUUUGGUCUGUGUCAAGAAACUUGUGCUGAUGAAAAUACACCAACCAGUGUGAUGAGCUUAAACAGAAUCCUUUCCCUUGAGGACUCCAAAGAGUGCAACAAAGAUGCAUUUUUGAAUUCCCAAAUCCAUGUACAGGCUUCUGAAAUAGAGGAUUUAAAGCAAGACAAGGUGAAACUUUCUGAGGAAAAGGAGGGGCUUGAAGUUCAGAAUAUGAAACUUUCAGAAGAAGCAUCAUAUGCUAAAGAGUUGGCUGCAGCUGCAGCAGUUGAGCUUAGAAACUUGGCUGAAGAAGUAACCAAGCUUUCUUAUGAAAAUGCAAAGCUGAUUGGUGACCUGGCUGCUGCAAAAGAGGUUCAGUGCCAAUCAAACUGUUGUCAGAGGCCCACUUCAUAUGAUUUUAAGCGAAAUAACGUAAAUGGAGCUCGAGCCGGAGGCCAUAAAAAGCCAGAGGAUGUAGUUUUGGUUGAGGAGCUACAAGGGGAACUUAGUGCAAGAUGUCAAAGAGAAGCUGCUCUGGAAAAAGAACUAUCUGAAAGAGAUCAGAUAGAAGAUGAUUUACGAAGAACAUUAGACAAAGUAAAACAACGUGAAGUUGAUUUAGAAAAUGAGCUGGCAAAUAUGUGGGUGCUGGUUGCAAAGUUGAGAAAGUCUGGCAUUAAUACCGAGGAUGUGUCACUUCAAGGGGUUCAUGUACCUGAAAGUUCACGUAUAAGAGUUAGAAAUGGGUUUCCGCCAUGUAAUGUUCAUUCAGAUGUUAUGUUCAAAGACAAUGAUAUCCGUGAAAACCUGAACGAGAUGGGCACAUUAGAAGAUUUAAGAGCCAGCUAUCAGAAAGAAAGGAGAAAAUGCAAAGAGCUAGAAUGCUAUAUUUCUAGACUGAAGGGUGAAGAUGUUGCUGGCCUGGAUGUUACAGCUCUUGAAGAAUUGCAGAACCUUCAUGUUGAGGCUAUAACGAAGAUUUGCCAUGCAAAGUGCGCGAAUCGUGUCUUUUAGCACGCUGAGCUCAAACAUCAUACAGAAUCUAUUGACGCACGGAUUUAGAUAUUUCAGGUAGUUUGCAGGUGUAAUCAAUUUUGUACAGAAUGGGAACAGAAACCGGAUUGAUUUAUGUCUCCAAUUAUCGGCUUCCAGGCACAAAUCAAGGAAGAGCUUAGGAAACGAUCGUUGAGGAGAUGCAAUUUUCUUGCAACUUGAAAAUUCAUGCGACUAGUUAGCUGCAGAGAUGGUUCAGAUCAGAGAUAUUGCUAUACAUGAAUUUAUCUAAACGCAUGUAUUAUCACGUAAUAUACCCGCUUACAUUUCCCACUUUGUAAGUUCACAAAAGACAACUAGAACUAACUUCUUUUUUCUUCUCUCUGCUAGAGUAGUAGACAAAAGAACUAUUGUAAAACUCCUGUGACCAAAAUGUUGUAUGUAUCUGCUACAUAUAUAUUUAUAUAUU